rnacentral:rRNA from 1 species
UACGGAGGGGGCUAGCGUUGUUCGGAAUUACUGGGCGUAAAGCGCACGUAGGCGGCUUUGUAAGUUAGAGGUGAAAGCCCGGAGCUCAACUCCGGAAUUGCCUUUAAGACUGCAUCGCUAGAAUUGUGGAGAGGUGAGUGGAAUUCCGAGUGUAGAGGUGAAAUUCGUAGAUAUUCGGAAGAAACACCAGUGGCGAAGGCGACUCACUGGACACAUAUUGACGCUGAGGUGCGAAAGCGUGGGGAGCAAACAGG